rnacentral:rRNA from 1 species
AACGAACGCUGGCGGCAGGCUUAACACAUGCAAGUCGAACGAGAUCUUUGGAUCUAGUGGCAGACGGGUGAGGAACACGUGGGAACAUCCCUUUCAGUUCGGAAUAACGUUGGGAAACUAACGCUAAUACCGGAUACGUCCUUCGGGAGAAAGAUUUAUCGCUGAAAGAUUGGCCCGCGUCUGAUUAGCUAGUUGGUGAGGUAACGGCUCACCAAGGCUACGAUCAGUAGCUGAUCUGAGAGGAUGAUCAGCCACAUUGGGACUGAGACACGGCCCAAACUCCUACGGGAGGCAGCAGUGGGGAAUAUUGGACAAUGGGCGCAAGCCUGAUCCAGCCAUGCCGCGUGAGUGAUGACGGCCUUCAGGUUGUAAAGCUCUUUUGUCCGGGAAGAUAAUGACUGUACCGGAAGAAUAAGCCCCGGCAAACUUCGUGCCAGCAGCCGCGGUAA